rnacentral:rRNA from 1 species
GGACAAUGGGCGCAAGCCUGAUCCAGCCAUGCCGCGUGAGUGAUGAAGGCCCUAGGGUUGUAAAGCUCUUUUGUGCGGGAAGAUAAUGACGGUACCGCAAGAAUAAGCCCCGGCUAACUUCGUGCCAGCAGCCGCGGUAAUACGAAGGGGGCUAGCGUUGCUCGGAAUCACUGGGCGUAAAGGGUGCGUAGGCGGGUCUUUAAGUCAGGGGUGAAAUCCUGGAGCUCAACUCCAGAACUGCCUUUGAUACUGAGGAUCUUGAGUUCGGGAGAGGUGAGUGGAACUGCGAGUGUAGAGGUGAAAUUCGUAGAUAUUCGCAAGAACACCAGUGGCGAAGGCGGCUCACUGGCCCGAUA